AAACUUAAAGGAAUUGACGGGGACCCGCACAAGCGGUGGAUGAUGUGGUUUAAUUCGAUGCAACGCGAAAACCUUACCUACCCUUGACAUGUCUGGAAUCCUGAAGAGAUUUGGGAGUGCUCGAAAGAGAGCCAGAACACAGGUGCUGCAUGGCCGUCGUCAGCUCGUGUCGUGAGAUGUUGGGUUAAGUCCCGCAACGAGCGCAACCCUUAUCAUUAGUUGCUACGCAAGGGCACUCUAAUGAGACUGCCGGUGACAAACCGGAGGAAGGUGGGGAUGACGUCAGGUCAUCAUGGCCCUUAUGGGUAGGGCUACACACGUCAUACAAUGGCCGGUACAGAGGGCUGCCAACCCGCGAGGGGGAGCUAAUCUCAGAAACCGGUCGUAGUCCGGAUCGCAGUCUGCAACUCGACUGCGUGAAGUCGGAAUCGCUAGUAAUCGCGGAUCAGCUUGCCGCGGUGAAUACGUUCCCGGGUCUUGUACACACCGCCCGUCACACCAUGGGAGCGGGUUCUGCCAGAAGUAGUUAGCCUAACCGCAAGGAGGGCGAUUACCACGGCAGGGUUCGUGACUGGGGUGAAGUCGUAACAAGGUAGCCGUAUCGGAAGGUGCGGCUGGAUCACCUCCUUU
rnacentral:rRNA from 1 species